AGCAGCCGCGGUAAUUCCAGCUCCAAUAGCGUAUAUUAAAGUUGCUGCAGUUAAAAAGCUCGUAGUUGAAUUUCGGGACCAUCAUGUUGGUCGUGCCUCGGUACGUACUGGCAUUGUUGGUUUCUCCCUUCUGACGAACCAUGAUGUCAUUUAUUUGGUGUCGUGGGAAAUCAGGACUGUUACUUUGAAAAAAUUAGAGUGUUUAAAGCAGGCUCACGCUUGAAUACAUUAGCAUGGAAUAAUGAAAUAGGACGUUUGAUUCUAUUUUGUUGGUUUCUAGGAUCGACGUAAUGAUUAAUAGGGAUAGUUGGGGGCAUUAGUAUUCAAUUGUCAGAGGUGAAAUUCUUGGAUUUAUUGAAGACUAACUACUGCGAAAGCAUCUGCCAAGGAUGUUUUCAUUAAUCAAGAACGAAAGUUAGGGGAUCGAAGACGAUCAGAUACCGUCGUAGUCUUAACCAUAAACUAUGCCGACUAGGGAUCGGAUGAUGUUAAUUUUUUAAUGACUCAUUCGGCGCCUUAC
rnacentral:misc_RNA from 1 species